CUCUACUGUUCAUGUCUCCUGUGAUCACCAUUUUCUCUGUACAAUCAUUUAUCACUUCUUGUAAUUUGUCCCAGAACUCAUUCUUUUCGUGUUUUGUUGCGUCUUCAUCUGGUCCAUAGCAUAUGAUUAGGUUUGUAUUAAUUUCCUCUGUAUCCAUAUAUAUGUCUACUCUUAGUAUACGUUCGUUGUAAUAUAUCCAAUUUUUUACUUUGUUGAUACUCUCCUUCUUAAUCAGGCACGCUACUCCUGCCUGAGCUCUCUUCGUUUCUUCCACUCCACUGUAUAUUAGUAACAUUCCGUUUUCUAAUAUUAUUGAUCCUCUUCCUUUUUUCUUUGUCUCUGUUAUAGCUACUAUUUCAAUGUUCUUAUCUCUAAUUUCUUCCCCCAGUUCUAUUUCUUUCCCAUUUAUACCUCUUACAUUUGUAACGUUUGAAAAAACUCCAACAUUAAUUUAAUAUCCCAAUUCCCAAAAAGAAUGUCUAUUUUUUUAAUUUAUUUUGUGAAGUUCAAUAUCAUUAUAAGAUCCCAAGCCGACCCUGUAUACAGCCAUGAAGUAUUGCAGCAACAUUUCAAUGUGUUACAAGAUUCCUGUUUAUUUGAGACGCAAAAACAGAAUUUGUAAGAAGUGUUGACAAAAGUACAGUUCUAAUGCGUAGAUGAACUUUCUAGAACAAAUCUUGAACUGAAAGUUGAGUUCUUGUCAACUAAGCAUCCCUAAGGAUCAAAAUCGCUCGGUACUUCCGUCGUAUUUUCCCCGAUCUGUGGCUUCAGACCGAAGCGCAGAUCAGUCCGGUUUGAUUUCUUCAAGCGUGAAGAUCGCUUGCCGACUCACCCCAAAAGGGCGUGGUGCCUUUUGUUACCCGCCGGUAAAGGGUAUAGUAUGUCGUUCUGGAAGAUCUAGUGUGAGGGCACGAUGUUUUUUUUACCCCGUAGUGAAGUUGGGUGCUCUUACACUGUGUUUGAGUUGUGACGCAGUACUAUACGCCGGCGUGGUAUGAAGUCCCUGUAUCUUGUCCAAGUUCCUGUUUAAAUGAAGUCUUCCGAGUCCCGAUUGAUGUCCUGAUGUAGACAUUUUGAGUUCCAGUCCCGUGAUGUUUAUCCAGUUGAUUGCCCCGAAAUAAAAAGGAAGCCAUGAAGCCCACCUCAGGUCGAUGACCCUGCUUGUUUGUAGAUGAACCCCCUUUCCGUGUAGUUUGUGACGUGUGAUAAAGGAUUUUGUUUAAAUAUGUUUUAGUUCAGGAGAAAAGAAAGAAUAUGGCAUAGAAGCCAAUAAUAAGGAAAGAUGUUGUCCCAAUGUAACCCCAAAGAGGAAUCAAUGAUGAUUGUCCCCCCGAUUGGUACCCGUAAGUAAGAAAGUAUCCAGUAAGUACCCAUAGGUGAAAUAGAGGAUUUAUUUCAAACGGCGUCCCUUUUUGUUAAAUAGUAGAAAGAUCCUCUAGUCAGAGUAAGUACCCUUAUGUAUUUAAUUAUGGUAGUGUAGUCAUCUUAACACCCCUUCACCCUCCCUAACGAAUCUACGACCUAGCUCCCGCACAACAAAUGAGCUGCCGUCCCGCAACGAGGCUUUAUGUGUCUGCUUCUUCUUCUUUAGCCCCAUUCUUACCCCCCAGUAUCUCUAUAGAUAGUCUUUCCUUGUUCCCAUAUGAGCAGACAUGUUUAAACGCUUCAAAUAGCGCCCUGUACGUGGGGCUCGAUCCAUUUUUAGCCCCCCUGACCCCAUUAGCAUGUGCCCACUACCAUAUCCCUUUAGCCUCCUUUCGGUCUCAUUUGUACUACAACUGUUAGGCAGUGCCCGUCUUGGGUAGCCGAUCUCAGUUUGUGGUGCAAGUGUUUCCGAUAACAUGGAAGCUCGACUCGUGUCAUGUUUUGUAUGCCCAUUGUUACAAGUCUAGCUUGUAGACAUGUUCAACUAGUAGUUAGCCUAUCUACUAGUCCCCAAUGUCUUUAGCCACCCCCCACUUAGUGUUACAUUUGUAACGUACACCCUGAAGUUUGACCCGAGUAAAUAUCGCCCCAGUCUUCCCAUGUAGUUUAGCCCAGAUUCCUCUUGUCUUGCCCCCCCGAAACUGUUUCAUGUCUGUUAGUGCCCCCGAAACUGUUUCAGUCUGUUAGUCCCCAUGAAAGAGCCCAUUUUUGUAGUUUUUGUUGCAAAAGUUAAUAAUUUUUCCAAAGAGGUGUAAGUAUGUACACAUUUUGUUGUGAUGUUGAUUUGGUCGUGCUGUUGAUUGUAUAGGCAUGUACCAUUUCAUACAUCAUAGUGUAUUUAACUUGUAACCCCAUAUGUAUACUGGUAUUGUAUUGUAUUGUAUGUAUCGUAGAACAGAAUUGUAUGUUAUUUUAGCGUACUAACUGUAUUGUAUUGAUAUUGUACCCAUGAUGAAAGCAUUGAUUUGAAUUUUUUUGAAAAUAUUGAUGAAAUAUAUAGACAAACAGUUGAAUAAAAAAGUAACGUAAAAUUUUUUUGAAAAUUUUGAUUAAAAGUAACGUUAAAUAUUUUGAAUAUUGAAUCCAAUUAUGAAGUAUAACAGUAUGUUGUAUUUUUUGCAUGUAUUCCUAUAGAUCAACAGUUUUUUUACAGAAUAAUCGUUUUUUGUGAUUUAUUGAUUUGGUCAUUUGAUUAGAUGUGUGAUGUUGUUGGUAUGGUCCGUGUAUGAGCUUAGCCCCGUAUAGUCUGUGUGAGAGUAGUCCCUUGUUUUUCCAGCGAAGCCUAUCUCUGUUGGUGUAUGUCAUGCCACAGGUUAGUUGGAGAAGUCAUCCCAUUGAGAAGUCAUCCCCUUGAGAAGUGGCCCCGUGAAGAAGUGAAGAGGGAAACCGUGGAGAGGCCCCCCACUUCUGUGUUUUUUUCAAGCAGCCAGGAGAAAAGCUGUCACUUUUAGAUUUGAAGAUAGCGUUCUCUGUCGACACUGUUUGAGAAUAACUGUCUUGAAGUGUAGAAGUUACCCGUGAAGUAGUUGAAGUCUCCCCCCAGUGAUGUGAAGUAGUUGAAGUCCCCCCGUGAAUGAAGUAUGUCUUUUUGUAUCUGACAUGUCACAAGUGUAAUACUCGUGAUGAAGAAAGUGUUGUUCAACUAUCUGUGAACACUUUCAUUAGUAGUCGGAGCAAGAAAUGUCUUAUCCCGUGUGAGCUCAUAUAGGAACCAAAUUUCAAUAUUGUUUGUGUUUGUAAGCCCCUGAGAAUAUCUAGAAGUCAAAAAGUAUGUUGUUGUCUGUUUGUUUGUCUAUCCCUGUUUUGUCUGGAAGUUUUAGAGCCCAUUGUCUGUUGUCCCGUGUUGUCUAUUAGCCCGUGUUGUCUAUUAGCCCGUGUUGUCUAUUAGCCCGUGUUGUCUAUUAGCCCGUGUUGUCUGUUAGCCCGUGUCCGUGCUGGAGUUUGAUUUUUUUUGGCGAAUAGUUAGUUGACCUCUCUUCUCUUUGUUGAUUGAAAGUAGGCCAAGAGCAGAAGCUGUGACAAGGCUGGUGAGGUUAGGAUCUGGCCGCGUUGAGUACAGGUGAAGCUUGCUUUCGGUCGAUAAAUGGAAGCGGUUGUUCGUCAGAACUGUCAUACUUUCCAAUGUCCCUUUGGUCUUCCCCUUGCGUGUUGCUUUCAUCCCCUGUUUUGAAAAAGUAGCCCCCCGUUUUGAAAAAUAAAGUCCACCCCCAGUCUUGAGAAAUGAAAUGCCCCCAGUUUUGAAAAGUAAGUCUAUCCCCAGUUUUGAAAAGUAAAGCCCAACCCCCCUGUCUUGAAAAAUGAAGUCUAUCCCCUGUUUCGAAAAGUAAGUGUAGCCCUGUUUUGAAAAUGAAGUCUUUCCCCAGCUUGUGAUUUGAAAAUGAGAGAGUUGUCUAGUGAACGUUCAUGAAAGGUUCUUAUGUCCUGGAUUGGACUGUUGAUUGAAAACGUAAUGAUGUAGUGUUCUCUAUAUCAUAUGUUGCGUUCAUUUCCCUUAGUCUUGUUUAAAAAGUUUGAUAUCCUGUUUGAACCCAGUAUACUAGUCUUUUCGGUCUUUUGUUGUUGUCACACGUAUCCCCCCUCCCCCCUUGUUAAUAUUGUCUUGAUUUUAGUCCUUGUUGUUGUCAUAUACCCUUUUGUCUAGCCCUGUUUUGUUUGAAUGAGUUGUUGAAGUAAGUUGUUGGUGAGAUUUUGUCUCACUGAGGUAUUUAGAUUGGAUUGUCUAAAUCCUCAUUUUUGCUGAACCGUUGCCAACAAAAUUCCCUGAAACUCGCUAGGCGUUUAGUGGAGUUUAGGCAGAUGCCUAUCUGCUGAGCCUAGAGCUCAAAUGAUUUUUUUUAGUUUUUGAGAACCGCUCGCGGUUAGGCAACGAGGUGACAAGGCUGUGUCUGCCCUGGUAUGUCACUUGUGUUACUGCUGUGGAUGUCAGCGAGGUCCACACAGGGCACAAGUUUAGUUUCUUUCCCAAGGCACAGAAACUCUUGUCACCUACAGUUCUUAGUAGAGUCAAGAAACAUUUAAGUCUACUCGACUUUAAAGAGUCUGGCGAUUGAUGGCACGCUAGCCCAAUCCCUAACGACUUUUUUGUUUUGUUUAAUCCCCACUAGCCAUUAUCUAAAUAUUUUGAUAUUGUUGUCCUGUCACACCUAAGAUGUCCAUGUUGGAUUUUUUUCUGUUUGUUAUCGAAAACUGGAUAAUCUUAUCCAGGUUUCUCUUUUGCGCGGAGGCUUUGUAACGUUUGAAAAAACUCCAACAUUAAUUUAAUAUCCCAAUUCCCAAAAAGAAUGUCUAUUUUUUUAAUUUAUUUUGUGAAGUUCAAUAUCAUUAUAAGAUCCCAAGCCGACCCUGUAUACAGCCAUGAAGUAUUGCAGCAACAUUUCAAUGUGUUACAAGAUUCCUGUUUAUUUGAGACGCAAAAACAGAAUUUGUAAGAAGUGUUGACAAAAGUACAGUUCUAAUGCGUAGAUGAACUUUCUAGAACAAAUCUUGAACUGAAAGUUGAGUUCUUGUCAACUAAGCAUCCCUAAGGAUCAAAAUCGCUCGGUACUUCCGUCGUAUUUUCCCCGAUCUGUGGCUUCAGACCGAAGCGCAGAUCAGUCCGGUUUGAUUUCUUCAAGCGUGAAGAUCGCUUGCCGACUCACCCCAAAAGGGCGUGGUGCCUUUUGUUACCCGCCGGUAAAGGGUAUAGUAUGUCGUUCUGGAAGAUCUAGUGUGAGGGCACGAUGUUUUUUUUACCCCGUAGUGAAGUUGGGUGCUCUUACACUGUGUUUGAGUUGUGACGCAGUACUAUACGCCGGCGUGGUAUGAAGUCCCUGUAUCUUGUCCAAGUUCCUGUUUAAAUGAAGUCUUCCGAGUCCCGAUUGAUGUCCUGAUGUAGACAUUUUGAGUUCCAGUCCCGUGAUGUUUAUCCAGUUGAUUGCCCCGAAAUAAAAAGGAAGCCAUGAAGCCCACCUCAGGUCGAUGACCCUGCUUGUUUGUAGAUGAACCCCCUUUCCGUGUAGUUUGUGACGUGUGAUAAAGGAUUUUGUUUAAAUAUGGUAUGAUAUAUUUUUUUAAAUUUUGCAAGGAUCCCAAAUGGAUAAAUAUUUUUGUUGGUAAAGAGUUUUGAAAAAUAAUAGUUGUUUGUGCUUUCAUGAUGCAACUUGUAAAUUAAAAUGACAGUGACUUUGACCUUUGACAGCUGCGUCAAAAUUUUGUUUUGACAUACACUGUCCAACAAGUUCUUUUGUCAUUCUUUUGUUAUGUUAAAUUGAAGAUUUUUUUUGUAAUGUAAAAGAUUUGUAGAUAUUUUGUCCUGUAAAAUCAUUUCCUGUUAAAAGUUUUUUUGUUUGUUUAAAAAAAAAACCACCGUAAAGUUUUAAAUAAAUGUUUGUGAAAGUGUA